rnacentral:rRNA from 1 species
CCUACGGGUGGCAGCAGUGAGGAAUGUUGGUCAAUGGGCGCGAGCCUGAACCAGCCAAGUAGCGUGAAGGAUGACUGCCCUACGGGUUGUAAACUUCUUUUAUAAAGGAAUAAAGUGAGGCACGUGUGCCUUUUUGUAUGUACGUUAUGAAUAAGGAUCGGCUAACUCCGUGCCAGCAGCAGCGGUAAUACGGAGGAUCCGAGCGUUAUCCGGAUUUAGUGGGUUUAAAGGGAGCGUAGAUGGGUUGUUAAGUCAGUUGUGAAAGUUUACGGAUCAACCGUAAAAUUGCAAUUGAUACUGGCAGUCUUGAGUACAGUUGAGGUAGGCGGAAUUCGGGGUGUAGCGGUGAAAUGCUUAGAUAUCACGAAGAACCCCGAUUGCGAAGGCAGCUUACUAAACUGUGACUGACAUUGAUGCUCGAAAGUGUGGGUAUCAAACAGGAUUAGAUACCCCAGUAGUC